rnacentral:misc_RNA from 1 species
CCGAGUUAGGGUCUUCUUAGGCCCGACCUCCCAACCCUAUGUUUAUUGAACUUAUGUUGCUUCGGCGGGCCCGUCUCACGACCGCCGGGGGACCGCAAGACGUCCUCUGGCCCGCGCCCGCCGGUGGCCAAACUUAACAAACUCUGAUUGAAUCGUGUCAUUGUCUGAGUACCAUUCUUAAUUAAAACA